rnacentral:lncRNA from 1 species
AGCUUAGAUAUGUAAAAUGUAUCUAUCCAGAUAAGUUCACUACAUUUAUCCAUUAUCAUUCUUUUAUAUUCUACAGUCAUAGAGUAUUUGUAGCUGUGAGAUGCAAGGAUAUUGGCCAGACCUUUCUAGAAAAAAUUAAAUUGGGAAACAGAGAGAAGAAGAGAAACCUGUUCUCAUUCUUAAGUCUUCAUAUAAGAAACAAUUGAUGGAAAGGGAAGGAAUGCCAUAGAGGAAUUGCCAGAAGCCAGAGAGGAGAGGCUGUUGCAACUCCGGGCCUCCAUGCCCAACCAAUAGAGAGACCAAGCAAGUGAUCCUAGUAGACACACAGGUACACUUGCAUUUAUAUGUACAAAUGCCUAUAUAUACAUGUAUGAC